rnacentral:tRNA from 1 species
UAGUGCAGAGGUUAGCAUGUCAACCUAUGACGUUGAACACCUGGGUUCGAAUCCUAG